rnacentral:lncRNA from 1 species
AAUUUUGGCCACCACUUGGAGCUCCUCGAUCCCAGGAACCCUAGGACAAGGUACUACUCUAGCAUCAACCCCCUUGUCUCUACACACCCAUGCCAUACGAUCCCACCAUAAUCAACCCACUACCUUCAACAUCACCACCAUCUAAUCCAACUUUAUCACUGCCUCUCAUAAGCAUCCUUAAUGGUUUAACGACCCCUCUUUCCAAACAUGGGAAGUUGGGAACAAGACCUUUGCUACCA